AUGCGUGUAUGACCUCGUCAUUUCCUCCCAAAAACAUUCUAUCAGGAAUGAAAUCAAAAGCUUUGUAAGUCGCUGGUUCUUUCUACAUAUUUUCCACGGGUUCUUCAUAAUACUCCGUUGGUCGUCCAAAACCUCGUUUGCAAAGUCUUUCAGAUUUAUUUUCGUUCUCCGAUUUCUCUGCAAGAUCGAGGAUCUGUUUUCCGAUUUCUCUGCGAUCGGAUCUGGCGAAAAUGAGUGAGGACUCUGUUUCUAUGUGCUUGUUUAUGUACUUGUUAUAUAUGUGGAUUCUUACAUCUUUUUCCCGAAUUGAAACAAUUUAUUACAUCUUAUGACUCCAAAAGUUGGGAUUCAAUUUAUAAACCGGUGGGUGAUUAAAAUGAAUAUUCACGCAGUAAAUUUUCUAUAUAUAUAUAUAUAUAUAUUUUUAUCUUUGUAGUUUUCUGGCCCUUGGGUUCCCCAGUUUUAAAUUAGUUUGUUUUUCUGGCUAUUUAUGCCUUCAUUAUUUUGAAUGAUUUUUCAAUUUGUGAU
rnacentral:lncRNA from 1 species